UCAAUUCAGUACAUAUAGCCCCUAAAUAUAGGGGUGUUUACACUAUGUUUACAUUAUACUAUACGCUGCUACUACGAUUCACAACGCUGCUACUACGAUUUUGGCAGCGAUUCAAGUUUGUUUAGGGCCUUGUGCAAAAAAUAUGCUUACCUAUGCAUUGUGACGUCAUACACUUGUAAAAUUAAAGUUUCAUUUUCACUUUUGUUUCUAAGAAGUGAACUUACAUUUUCAGAAAAUGUAGGACUAUCUUUUGUUUUUCCUCUUUUACUAUGAUGAUUUUCCUGCUGUGAAGCUUUUCUUGUUUAAAGCUCCGUUUCUCUAUGACCACGGAAGUAAACAUCCUGAUGCAUUUUUGUCAUGUGAAUGUUAAGAGCGGGUUUAUUUUUGAAAUCUCCUUUCUGACAGAAAUAUUCCACAGGAUCAGCUGAGAUGUUAUUUCACUGGAUUAUUUAAUGGAUAGACUUAUUGGGCAUAUAGUUGGAUAUCUCUGGAUCAACUGAGAUGUUAUUUCACUGGAUUAUUUAAUGGAUAGGCUUAUUGGGCAUAUAGUUGGAUAUCUCUGGUAAGUUUGUCUUGUUUU